rnacentral:rRNA from 1 species
CCUACGGGUGGCAGCAGUGGGGGAUAUUGCACAAUGGGGGAAACCCUGAUGCAGCGACGCCGCGUGAGUGAAGAAGUAUUUCGGUAUGUAAAGCCCUAUCAGCAGGGAAGAAAAUGACAGUACCUGACCAAGAAGCCCCGGCUAACUACGUGCCAGCAGCCGCGGUAAUCCGUAGGGGGCCAGCGUUAUCCGGAAUUACUGGGUGUAAAGGGAGCGUAAACGGUUAUGUAAGUCUGGAGUGAAAGCCGGGGGCCCAACCCCGGGACUGCUUUGGAAACUGUGUAACUGGAGUACAGGAGGGGCAGGCGGAAUUCCUGGUGUAGCGGUGAAAUGCGUAGAUAUCAGGAGGAACACCGGCGGCGAAGGCGGCCUGCUGGACUGAAACUGACGUUGAGGCUCGAAAGCGUGGGGAGCAAACAGGAUUAGAUACCCCUGUAGUC